GCACAUGAGAGCUUGCCACCUAGA
rnacentral:siRNA from 1 species